GACAUAGGUGGCGAACGUUAUCCGGAAUUAUUGGGCGUAAAGGAUGCGUAGAUGGCAGAGUAGGUUACUGGUUGAUGUCAAACUCAAUUUGACGGAAGCUGGUAAUACUUUUUUGCUAGAGGGCAGGAGAGGUUGAUGGAAUUCUGUGUGGAGCGGUGAAAUGCGUUGAUCUACAGAGGAACACCAAAAAAGGCGAAGGCAGUCAACUAUCCUGUUCCUGACAUUGAGGCAUGAAAGCGUGGGGAGCAAACCGG
rnacentral:rRNA from 1 species